rnacentral:tRNA from 1 species
GCCGAGGUGACAGAGUGGCCAAUGUGACCGCCUGCAGAGCGGUUUUCCGGGAGUUCGAAUCUUCCCCUCGGCACCA